UCCCUUUCAGUCCAGCGUGUGCCUUAU
rnacentral:sRNA from 1 species